rnacentral:rRNA from 1 species
GACGAACGCUGGCGGCGUGCCUAAUACAUGCAAGUCGAACGCACUCUCGUUUAGAUUGAAGGAGCUUGCUCCUGAUUGAUAAACAUUUGAGUGAGUGGCGGACGGGUGAGUAACACGUGGGUAACCUGCCCUAAAGUGGGGGAUAACAUUUGGAAACAGAUGCUAAUACCGCAUAAAACCUAACACCGCAUGGUGUAGGGUUGAAAGAUGGUUUCGGCUAUCACUUUAGGAUGGACCCGCGGUGCAUUAGUUAGUUGGUGAGGUAAAGGCUCACCAAGACCGUGAUGCAUAGCCGACCUGAGAGGGUAAUCGGCCACACUGGGACUGAGACACGGCCCAGACUCCUACGGGAGGCAGCAGUAGGGAAUCUUCCACAAUGGACGAAAGUCUGAUGGAGCAACGCCGCGUGAGUGAAGAAGGUUUCGGAUCGUAAAACUCUAGUUGUUGGAGAAGAAUGUAUCUGAUAGUAACUGAUCAGGUAGUGACGGUAUCCGAACCAGAAAGCCAACGG